rnacentral:rRNA from 1 species
UGCCUUGAGGCGUGGCUUCCGGAGCUAACGCGUUAAGUCGACCGCCUGGGGAGUACGGCCGCAAGGUUAAAACUCAAAUGAAUUGACGGGGGCCCGCACAAGCGGUGGAGCAUGUGGUUUAAUUCGAUGCAACGCGAAGAACCUUACCUACUCUUGACAUCCAGAGAACUUUCCAGAGAUGGAUUGGUGCCUUCGGGAACUCUGAGACAGGUGCUGCAUGGCUGUCGUCAGCUCGUGUUGUGAAAUGUUGGGUUAAGUCCCGCAACGAGCGCAACCCUUAUCCUUUGUUGCCAGCGGUCCGGCCGGGAACUCAAAGGAGACUGCCAGUGAUAAACUGGAGGAAGGUGGGGAUGACGUCAAGUCAUCAUGGCCCUUACGAGUAGGGCUACACACGUGCUACAAUGGCGCAUACAAAGAGAAGCGAACUCGCGAGAGCAAGCGGACCUCAUAAAGUGCGUCGUAGUCCGGAUUGGAGUCUGCAACUCGACUCCAUGAAGUCGGAAUCGCUAGUAAUCGUAGAUCAGAAUGCUACGGUGAAUACGUUCCCGGGCCUUGCACUCACCCGCCCGUCAAAA